rnacentral:rRNA from 1 species
AGAGUUUGAUCCUGGCUCAGGAUAAACGCUGGCGGCGCACAUAAGACAUGCAAGUCGAACGAAAGUCGUUUUAAUGAAUUAGAGAUGAAAGAUUUAUCCGGAUUCAAAGAUGAUUUAAAACAAUGGCUUUAGUGGCGGACUGGUGAGUAACACGUAAGCAACCUGCCUGUUAGAGGGGAAUAACAGUGAGAAAUCAUUGCUAAUACCGCAUAUGCCAUAUGAACCACAUGGUUCAAGUGGGAAAGGAGCAAUCCGCUAACAGAUGGGCUUGCGUCUGAUUAGAUAGUUGGUGGGGUAACGGCCUACCAAGUCGACGAUCAGUAGCCGGACUGAGAGGUUCAACGGCCACAUUGGGACUGAGAUACGGCCCAGACUCCUACGGGAGGCAGCAGUCGGGAAUAUUGCGCAAUGGAGGAAACUCUGACGCAGUGACGCCGCGUAUAGGAAGAAGGUUUUCGGAUUGUAAACUAUUGUCGAUAGGGAAGAAAAAAGACUGUACCUAUCAAGAAAAGCUCCCCGGCUAACUACGUGCCAGCAGCCGCGGU